CUGUCACAACGGCUUCCUGACGUGGCAGGGAAUUAUAAUGGAGCA
rnacentral:ncRNA from 1 species